GGGGCCAGUCCCCUAUAUUGAGUUUUAUUUGCUCUUCUUUUUUGCAUCUACAGGUAUUUGGACCGUCUUGGUGAAUAUUCCUCACGUACUUGGAAAGAACGUGAAUUCGACGUUAGACGGAGUGGUCUCUAACGGUCAACUGGGUCAAGCUGGUGGGCAGCAUUGUUCAAAUCUUCUGUGUUCUUGCAGAUAUGGUGUCCAGCUCAGAUGGCUUUGUCCCCGCAUUUGUAACUGGGCAGAAGCUGGGGCCCGGAUGUUUCUGGUUGGAGGAUCCCGAGAACAACACCCCCACCCCCCACCCCACCGCCCAUGCCUUUGCAGUCUCUGAAUUGCACGUGGGGGCAGAGAUGCCUCCUGAGAAAAUCACCCACAGGUUUCACAGGAAGAAUCAUUUGGGGUUGGGA